rnacentral:rRNA from 1 species
GACGAACGCUGGCGGCGUGCCUAACACAUGCAAGUGGAGCGACGAACCAGGCUUCGGCCUGGGGCAAAGCCGCGAACGGGUGAGUAACACGUGGGUAACCUGCCCCGAUGAUUGGGACGAACCCGACGGAAACUACGGGCGUAAUACCGAAUGUGCCCUUCGACCGCAAGGUCGCUGGGGAAAGGAAGCUUCGGCCUCCGCAUCGGGAGUGGGCCCGCGGCCCACUUAGCUUGUUGGUGAGGUAACGGCUCACCAAGGCGACGAUGGGUAGCUGGUCUGAGAGGACGAUCAGCCACAC